GUAGCAGAAAUGAACCUCGAACGACUGUAUGAGGUCGAACCACUAGCAGGCUGGGAAGAGGGACGCGAUCGCUUACGAGCCAUCUGGCACACGUAAAGAGGCAAGAAAUGAGACAUAUGAAUAAUGCAAGUGAAGUGAUGCAACGUGACAUGACACACGUGCACAUACAUGAGCCUCAAACAAAGAUGUAACGAAAAACGCGAAACGACCCUACGAGCAUAAAUAGCCUGUCUCGACACCCGACCAAGAAACCAUGCACAAACACCAUGAAGAAGAACCAUGCAAAAAGGGAAACAACAAAACAUGUAAAAAAAUCAAACCUAAAUAGACUAAGGCAUUUCAUCGAGCAUGUGGCGUGCGGUUCUUUGGCACAACUUUUCAAGCACGCAAGAGACGUAACCCCGUACCCAAUCACACAAUCACAAACUAGGUAACAUCCCGAACAAUAUGAAACAAACGGCAUGCAAAUCGGAUUUACGGAAUGCAAGAACCAACGCGAUGAACAUGGAUGAAAAUCACACAAAACAUAGGUAAAAUACAAGCACAAAUCAAGUAAAAAUCACACAAUGCUAUGUAAUACAUGAAUUCAAUGUGCAAGAAACUUCAAUCCAACGAUGCUAAACAUGCUAGAGGCUAUGAACUCAUGUAAUAGAAGCAAUGAAUCAAACAAAAUGGGAAGAGAUGAGUAAAAGAAAAAAAAACGAAAAAAAAAACAUAAAAAAAACAUGGAAAUUUUACCUCAAUUGAAGUUAAAAAAUUGGAAUAUUGAUGUUGAAAUGAUGUGUUAGAACGUCGGAACACCCAAUUAACAAUAUGAGCAGAAGAAAUUUCAGAGGAUUGUGUGAAAUUUGUGAAGAACUUGGAGAAUUUGCAAAUUGGAAACGCGAGAAAUGAAGUUAUAGUUCAAAACCUUGCACUGUCGCUCGAGCAAGGUUUAAGCGAGCCUCGAGCGAGGUAUGGAGCGAUCCUCGAGCGAAAAUGCAACUUUCAAAAAUAGCACCAAAAUUUUGAAUUCUUUAAAAUAAGGCAUAACACUCUGAAAAUUAUGAAAAUAGCCCUGAGUAACAAAAUUUUAACGAUGUGUAGCAAAAUAUGCAAUCGAGCCCAAACAUAAACAUAAAGGCACAAACCCGAUACCCAGCAUAUAGACAGAACAUAAGUCCACACAGAGAUCAAAUACCCGUGGAGUCAAGUGUAUACAGACCAACACCGUGAAAAGUGCCACGUAGUCCAUGCAAGCUAGACUCCAAACCUUAAAUUAGUGAGAAGGGACACGUGAAGCUAACCAAACAAAGGUGUAUGUCGACCAAGUGACAAUCAAAUCCAAUACCACGAGGACCUAUAUCAAAUGAAACAAAUGUCACAUUUUUACUCCCCCUAACUUAAUGAUCU
rnacentral:lncRNA from 1 species